rnacentral:rRNA from 1 species
UACGAAGGGUGCAAGCGUUACUCGGAAUUACUGGGCGUAAAGCGUGCGUCGGUGGUUUUUUAAGUCCGUUGUGAAAGCCCUGGGCUCAACCUGGGAAUGGCAGUGGAUACUGGAAAGCUAGAGUGCGGUAGAGGGUAGUGGAAUUCCCGGUGUAGCAGUGAAAUGCGUAGAGAUCGGGAGGAACACCGGUGGCGAAGGCGGCGAUCUGGGUAGAUACUGACGCUGAGGUGCGAAAGCGUGGGGAGCAAACAGG